CGGGGUGUGGCUCAGCUUGGUAGAGCGCACGGUUCGGGUCCGUGAGGUCGGGAGUUCAAAUCUCCCCACCCCGA
rnacentral:tRNA from 1 species